AUUGAACGCUGGCGGCAUGCUUUACACAUGCAAGUCGAACGGUAACAGGGUGCUUGCACCGCUGACGAGUGGCGAACGGGUGAGUAAUGCGUCGGAACGUGCCGAGUAGUGGGGGAUAACGCAGCGAAAGUUGUGCUAAUACCGCAUACGUACUGAGGUAGAAAGUGGGGGACCUUCGGGCCUCACGCUAUUCGAGCGGCCGACGUCUGAUUAGCUAGUAGGUGAGGUAAAGGCUCACCUAGGCGACGAUCAGUAGCGGGUCUGAGAGGAUGAUCCGCCACACUGGGACUGAGACACGGCCCAGACUCCUACGGGAGGCAGCAGUGGGGAAUUUUGGACAAUGGGCGAAAGCCUGAUCCAGCCAUGCCGCGUGUCUGAAGAAGGCCUUCGGGUUGUAAAGGACUUUUGUCAGGGAGGAAAGCGCACUGGUUAAUACCUGGUGUGGAUGACGGUACCUUGAUAAGAAGCACCGGCUAACUACGUGCCAGCCGCCGCCGUAACAC
rnacentral:rRNA from 1 species